GUUUCAAUUCAUCAAUUUCUCAAAUUACCAUUAUCGUUAUCGGGGGGUCUACGCUUACCUGAUACACAAGUAAACCAUUCUAUGUUGCCAGAAAAUUGCCAACGACUUUUUUCAGGGAUAGGAGUUAAGGAAAAUGAUCAAAAUAUGCGGGAAUACUCCUUUUCCGAAUUAGAUUUUCUCAUGACUGAUGCUGUGCCAGAUAUCGAGGAAAUAAACCCAACACUGACGAUUGAUUACAUUGAUUAAACCUUGGUACAUUGAUUACAUUGAUGAAACCUUGAUGGGAUAUUUUGUGAGUACAACUGAAGCUGAUUUACUCAAAGACGAUGCUAUGCAAGCAGAAAACUAUUAUUUAGAACCAACGACGGAAAGAGACUUGCAGGACCUAAACCAAUACAUGUGGACGAUUUUAAAACUGGAGUAUUGGCAAACAACGAUUCAGGGAUUCUCUGUUAUUCCGCAAUCAUAACUUCGGUGGACUUGAAAAGUGAAUUUCAUAAUUUUCAUGCUGGAGAAGUAAACUGCAAUCAUCUAACAUAUUGUAAAGGUAAGCUGAACUACAUACAGUUGCGAAAUAAAGGAUUCAAUCAACAGCUAUUAUACCAACCGGGCUCGCUGAGAUAAACUCAGUUUUGCAUUAAUUGCUUAACUAUGUAAUUCAAUCGAAACGUUUACGGAACAACGACCAAUAAUGCGAAGGACUGACAUUUUCGAAGAGGAAUAAAAGUAUCUGAGAGGAUAUAUACAAAUAAAUAUAAAUAUUUGUAGCGAUGGACUCACAAUCGAAGCUUCAAUUUACGAGAGAACAGACCGCUAUUCUGAAGUAUUGCUUCCAAAAUGGAAAUUGCACAACUUCUUUUUAAAUAUUUAAACUGAGUGAAAAGUGCCCCCGCAACAAGUUGAGAUCUGGCUAAAGGACAGACAAUCGAAUGCUGCUAAUCAACAACAACCCGGAAAGAAAAAGGCAAUAGAUUUGGUAAAAGUAGAAAUUUUAGAAAGAAUUUUCAAUGUACUCGCCUAUUUGAAUGCAGCACAACGCAUGGAAAUUGCGACACAAUCAAGUCCAACAAGGAUUACUACCGGGUUCAAUAAGGAAGCCCUCUAUGCCCAUCCAUGCCUCUACCGGGAAACGAAGUUGAUCAUACAAUGCAAGCCGACUUAACACUGGGGAUAAAUGUUGAAGAAUGCCUCCAGCGGAAAACGAAGAUAAUCAUCAGCCUUAUUCCUCAAAUGAAAUAGUGGUUGGGGAAAACGAGGUUCUCCCACUUCUAUCCAUGUCUACACUUGAAAACGGAGCUGAUCAAAUUCAAAUGAAAAUCCUGAAUAUCAGGCAACAAACCGGAGCCUCCCUACGUCAAUGUUCUAUAAACGACAAGCUUCACCCAUUUGCGUACUGAAGGUCCUUCUACUGAGACCAAAACCGGAACCAAUCAAUUCCUCCGAUUAGUGGCCCUGCAGCAUUCAUAAAACCCGAGCCCUUGGAAAAAGAUUCUUCUCAGAAUCGAAUUCAUAGCUCCACAAAUGCAACAAUGAGAUUCCAGGCUAGAGAAACGUUACCUCUACUAUACCUUAUGGACCCAAGUUCGCUAGCUAUGCCUCUACUAAGAAAUGAAGCUGGGGGAGCUCAAUUAAAAAUUAGAGACAUCACGUAGAUGACUAGACUACCUGUAAGUGAGUUUAUACAGAACAAGAAUUCGAGUGAUAAUAUUCAAAUUAGUUCUUCAGCUGA